rnacentral:rRNA from 1 species
UACGUAGGGGGGCAAGCGUUGUCCGGAAUUAUUGGGCGUAAAGAGCGCGUAGGCGGUCCGAUAAGUCGGCUGUGAAAGUCCAGGGCUCAACCCUGGAAAGCCGGCCGAUACUGUCGGACUAGAGUCCGGAAGAGGCAAGUGGAAUUCCCGGUGUAGCGGUGAAAUGCGCAGAUAUCGGGAGGAACACCAAUUGCGAAGGCAGCUUGCUGGGACGGUACUGACGCUGAGGCGCGAAAGCGUGGGGAGCAACAGG